UUUAAAAAAAAAAAAAAUUCUAUCGUUGUAUAGAAGAGAUGUAAUCACAAGUUCUAUUGCUGCUGUACAACCAAAAAAAAUUUUCCCUGUCAAAAAAAGAAAAUUUCCUAUUGGCUAAUUCAUAUACACAAGGAUCAAGUUUUUGACCGUCGGAUGAGACUAAAUCAACGGACCAAAGUUAUUAAUUUUUGAGAUCUGCAUGUCUUUUUUUUUACCAAACAGAUCUGCAUAUCUCUCGACAGAUUCUCUCAUUUGAUUUCAUCUCCUAAUCUCUUCAUUCUUAAGAUCUUAGCGAUCUCUGCUCCCAUAUCUCUCCAGCUUCGCUACAGACUCUGUCAAUGGUCGUUAAUCGAAGGAGUGAAGGAGAACCGGAGGAGGAAGGAGAGAAAAAAGAGGAAGAACAUGAGAAGGAUGAACCAGCAUGAGAGGUGGAGACAUGACGGUGUUCCGGUGUACCGUCACAGCGUCUAUUGUCGCUCCCGCAUGACUGUUCAGAUUAUUUAAGAAGGGAGAGGAGGAAGAAGAAGAAGAGGAGGAGAAGUAAGAAGAGCGGUUUCACAAAUUACAACGAACUGAGACAAUUUAAUUAGCAAGGAAUUGUAACAUUCUUGUCAUUGUCACAUUAUAAUAGUCACAUAUUAUAACGACUAGGGGCAUUUUGUGGACAAAAUUCUUGUUUCAUCUCAAUAUUUGUUAGGGUUAUUGUAGUUGUGAGUUUUGCGUUUUGGGUUGAUCAUUGUUUUUCAAGUUUUUUUAUUGUUAUAGGGUUAGAGUUGUGCUGAUGAACUGUGUAUGCACUGUUCUGCACUCACGAAGAACUAAAUUGUGUUAGCAAUGUGAUUGAUAUAGUUCAUGGUGUUGUUUGUUGUAUCAUUGAAA